rnacentral:lncRNA from 1 species
UUGCUGAUUACAAGCCUGGUGUGACUUGAAGGGGGAAAGAGAGAGAGAGAGAGAGAGGAAGGAAAACAGAGGGAGAGACGGGCUCCUCGGGAGAAAAAGCCAUUCAAUUUACGGAAUAAAUCCUUCGAGUAAACUCGAUUUGUGUGCCAGCAACCCGGCAGCUCUUCCCGGCCCCGCACCGCGCUGACCUACGCGUAGGGCAGCGGGUGCGGGGCCGGGAAGGGCCACCGGGCUCCUCUUCCCCUUCCCUCCUCGUCCUCUUCGAAGAAGCGCCCUCCGUCCCUGCGCCUGCCGGGCUGGCCCGGUCGCCGGUACCGGGGGCCUGGGGAGGCGGCCCCUGGCCUUAGCGAGAGUAUCGGUUCGCCAUUUACGUGGUUGAUCUCAGCUAGGCUGUGUUGAGAACCUCGUGGAAAGUUCCUGUCCUCAAUGGAUGACAAACUAGGUGGAAGCAUAUGAGUGUGAAGAGCUUUUUUCCUGAGCAGCUUCAUUCAGGCUGGGAGAAUGUAGAAGCUGAGCCUUCACAGUCUUCUAGGGAGAAAAGGAGAAGAAGGUACCAUUUUCUGCUUGUCUCACAUCUCCAGGGUAGCAGUGGGACAGAAAUUCCAGGACGAGACAAGAGACCAGCUUGGUAUGGAAGUCUAAGACAGCUAACAAACUGGGAAAAGAUGCUUGAAGUUUGGCUGGCUAAUCUGGAUAUUUCUAUCCCUUCAUCAUGAGAAUUUACUCUACAUAUUUCUCAAGAGUUUUGUGCUGAGAAUAAAGUAGUUUUUGUUGGUUACUGCCA